rnacentral:snRNA from 1 species
UCUCUAGUAAAUUACCUCUCCUUAUU